AAUAAUGAGUAUUUGAUUAUGGUACAUCCAGAUGGGUAUCUAGGUAUUUAACACAUGCAAGUUGAUAAUAAAUAAGUUUAUUAUAACAUAGGGGUCAGGAAAAUUGGGGAUAUACCUUAAAGAUCAUAGAAAUAAUGAAUAAAAAAAGGGAAAUAAUUCUGCUUUAAGAUUAGCUCAAUUCCCAAUAGGUAGUUGGAGAGGUAAAGCUUAACAAGCCGAUUAUGGGUAAUACAAAAUGAAAGUUUUAUAUAUGACAUUGGAAAUGAAAAAGUCCAAAGUAUCAGUCGAUGCGCAGCAGUGAAGAAUAUUGGUCAAUGCACUAAAGUGUGAACCAGUGAUCUAGAUUUAGGAUAAAUAUAGAAUAAUCCUAUAUAAUAUAUUAAAUGAUGAUUGAUAUAAUUAUUAGUCCUGUCUAAUAUCUGUGCCAGCAGAAGCGGUUAAACAGAGAGGGCAACCCAUUGGAGAUAUAAAUUGGUGUAAAGGGUACGUAGCCGGUUAAUAAUAUUGUUAACUAGAAUUUUAUGUAAGUAACAAGAAUACUUAGAGUAGUUUUAAUAAACGUUGAUCUUAAGGGGAAUGCUAAAGGCGAAAGCAUGUUACUAAAAAAAAUUGACGGUAAGGUACGAAAGUUAGGGUAUAAAAAGAGAUUUGAUACCUCUGUAUUCCUAACCGUAAACGAUGUAAACUAAAUAUUAGUGAAAAAUAAAUAAAAACUAGUGUUGAUUUUAACGAGUUAAGUUUACCACCUGUAGAGUAUAGUCACACGACUGAAAUACAAAUAAUUAGACGGCUUUAAAGCAAACGGAGUGGAGUAUGUUAUUUAAUUCGAUUUUACGCGAAAAAUCUUACCACAUCUUGCAUUUUUUCUUUUGUCUUUUAUAGAUAGAAUUAACAGGUAUUGCAUGGUUGUCGUCAGUUAGUGCUUGUGAGGUGUAUGGUUAAUUCCGAUUAACUAACGCGAUCCUUAUGGUAAUUUUUUACAUUACUAAGUAAUUUUGAUGAAAAAUUAUAUUUAAAAAGGGAAUAUGACAAAUCCUCAUGAUCCUUAUGAUGUGGGCUAUAGACGUGCUACAAGAAUAAUUAACAAAAUGAUGCAAUCUCGUGAGAAGGAGCUAAACAUUAAAAAUUAUUAAUAUACGGAUUAAGGACUGGAACUCGUCCUUAUGAAGCUGGAAUUCCGAGUAAUCGCGAAUAAGAACGUCGCGGUGAAAUCUAUCUUUAGAGUGUACUAACUGCUCAUCACAGGCUGAGAAAUGAGAAAUAAUUAAGAUUUCAUAUAAGGUUUAUUAUUAUAUUUUUAGUUUUAUAACACUUUUUGUAAUAUAAUUUAUCAUUAAAGGGAUUAAAUUAUAAUCAUUGAUUGGUUUGAAGUUGAAACAUGGUUGUGCUAGGGGAACCUGGCGCAGGUUAUUAAAAACA
rnacentral:rRNA from 1 species